rnacentral:rRNA from 1 species
GAGGAAUUUUCCGCAAUGGGCGCAAGCCUGACGGAGCGACGCCGCGUGAGGGAUGAAGGCUUUCGGGUUGUAAACCUCUUUUGCGGGGGAAAAAGGUGUUUGUGCUCAUACCACAGGCACUUGAUGGUACUCCGCGAAUAAGCCCCGGCUAACUACGUGCCAGCAGCCGCGGUAAUACGUAUGGGGCGAGCGUUGUCCGGAUUUACUGGGCGUAAAGGGCGUGUAGGCGGUUGGAUAAGUCUGAUGUGAAAUCUCAUGGCUCAACCAUGAGACUGCGUUGGAAACUGUCUGACUGGAGUUCGGCAGGGGUUACUGGAAUCCCCGGUGUAACGGUGAAAUGUGUAGAUAUCGGGGGGAACACCUGUGGCGAAGGCGGGUAACUGGGCCGCAACUGACGCUGAUACGCGAAAGCGUGGGGAGCAAAC